ensembl:lncRNA
GUGAAUUCUCUUUAAAAGGUGAAGCAGAUGUUUCCUUUCCUCUGGCGUCCAGCUGCUAACAUCCCCAACAUGUCACAGUGCAACAGUUAUCUUCAGCUGAUGACACUGGAGCACGACUCAGAAUCCAGGAGGAGAUGUUUCUGACAGAGUCUGAGGGGAAAGUGUUCAGGAAAAACAUCUCAGAGCUGCAAGAAUCAGACUAGAAUCACAGGAGAAUCACAGCAGAAUCAGACUAGAAUCACAGGAGAAUCACAGGAGAAUCAGACUGGAAUCAGAGGAGAAUCAGACUAGAAUCAGAGGAGAAUCAGACUAGAAUCAGCGGAGAAUCAGACUAGAAUCAGAGGAGAAUCAGAGGCGAAUCAGACUAGAAUCUGAGGAGAAUCAGACUAGAAUCAGACUAGAAUCAGCAGAGAAUCAGACUGGAAUCAGAGGAGAAUCAGACUAGAAUCAGAGGCGAAUCAGACUAGAAUCAGCAGAGAAUCAGACUAGAAUCAGAGGAGAAUCACAGGAGAAUCAGACUAGAAUCACAAGAGAAUCAGACUAGAAUCGGGAGAAUCAGAGGAGAAUCAGACUAGACUCAGAGAAGAAUCAGAGGAGAAUCAGAGGAGAAUCAGACUAGAAUCAGAGAAGAAUCAUAGGAGAAUCAGAGGAGAAUCACACUUGAAUCAGAGGAGAGUCAGAGGAGAAUCAGAGAAGAAUCAGACUAAAAUCAGAGAAGAAUCAGAGGAGAAACAGACUAGAAUCAGGAGAAUCAGACUAGAAUCAGUGGAGAGUCAGAGGAGAAUCAGAGAAGAAUCAGACUAGAAACAGAGAAGAAUCAGAGGAGAAUCAGACUAGAAUCAGGGGAGAAUCAGAGGAGAAUCAGACGAGAAUCAGAGAAGAAUCAGAGGAGAAUCAGAGGAGAAUCAGACGAGAAUCAGAGAAGAAUCAGAGGAGAAUCAGAGGAGAAUCAGACUUGAAUCAGAGGAGAGUCAGAGGAGAAUCAGAGAAGAAUCAGACUAAAAUCAGAGAAGAAUCAGAGGGGAAUCAGACUAGAAUCAGAGAAGGAUCAGAGGAGAAUCUGACUAGAAUCAGAGGAGAAUCAGACUAGAAUCAGAGGAGAGUCAGAGGAGAAUCAGAGAAGAAUCAGACUAGAAUCAGAGGAGAAUCAGACUAGAAUCAGAGAAGAAUCAGAGGAGAAUCUGACUAGGAUCAGAGGAGAAUCAGACUAGAAUCACAAGAGAAUCAGACUAGAAUCGGGAGAAUCAGAGGAGAAUCAGACUAGAAUCAGAGAAGAAUCAGAGGAG